rnacentral:misc_RNA from 1 species
CUUGUUUAGAGGAAGUAAAAGUCGUAACAAGGUUUCCGUAGGUGAACCUGCGGAAGGAUCAUUACAAAGAUUCGGGGUCGCGCCACCGCGUGACUCUCGAUCAAAAAUCGCAUGGAUCUUCCUGCUCUUCGGAGCGGAAGAACGUGUAACCUCUUGUGCACCGUAUAAGGGAAAGCAUCCGAAAGGUUCUUUUCCUUAUUUGCGUCAAAUUCGUCAGUCUGAUGUUACUUUCUAAGUCUUUUAUUUCUGAAAAGAGAAUAAAAACUCGAAACAACUUUUAACAAUGGAUCUCUUGGCUCUC